GAUGGCUGAGACAAGGGGUGAAUGGGUUGCUGCUUCCAAAGUUCCAAUUCAGUGGUCUUUUGGCCGUGCUCGAGGUUAGGUAUGCUUGUGUAUAGGAAGGGCCAGUUACCUCGCCUAAUUAGUGGAUUUGAUAUUUAAAUUUGAAAGUGAACUUAUUCAUUUUUAACCGAGGAUAAAACCACACAUACGACACCUGUAUUCACGGUGAUAGUCAAACAGAUUGCUACUCAACGGUUCUCUUACGCUGGCUCUGACCCACUGCAGUCGACUAAUCACCAGG